UCCCGUUGACUUUGAUUAUGACUUUGAAUUGGACGGUCAAGAUGAUACCGAAUAUGUUAGAUCCUUCGGCUACGACAAUGGUUCGUGCAAUGAGAAAUGUGAUCGUGCGUCUCCUGAUGAUCAUCAGGAAGAAGAAGAAGAGUUAGGGGUAGAUGCAAGAGCAGAUGAGUUUAUUGCUAAUUUCUAUGAGCAGAUGAAGUUGCAGAGGCAAAUCUCUUGUUUGAAAUACAAAGAACACAAUGAAGUUGUAUGAUGAUGAUUAACAAAAGGGUUUUCACUUUAUUCACUAUAUAUAUAGAUGUUUCUUUUCUUAAUUCUCCUUUUUGUGUUUUCUUUUCAAUUUUUUUGUGAAAUACGUUACAUGCAAGAUAAAGAGAUACAAUUUCACAGAUUGUUAAUUCAUUCUUGAUAUCAAUAUAUAUAUGAGACCUACAAAGUUUCUAUCAAUUAAUUUAUAUUUUCUUGGCCUAUAUACACAAAAUAACGUUUGGUUGUUAUUCACAGCAAGAGAUCCUUAUUCGUUAUCCUGUGAACAUUCACUCGGGUAACAUGAAUGUAAAUUUCAUUUUCAUUUCCAGUUGGUGAUGAUAUUUUUUUUUCUACAGUUUUGAGUUGAAAAGCUACACCACUGACUAGCUUCAGAAGGUUUAAUCCAAUAAAAAACCAAAGCUUACUGACGAGAAAGAAGGAUCAAUCGAGUGAUGUUAUCUUCUCCUCUUUUACAUCAAAAGCUCUACGAGCUUGCUUUAGCACUCCUUGGUUGCCAAGAGUUCCCUACAACGGUUAAGUUUUUAAAAAUCAUACAUUAAACCAAAUCAAAGAACACAGCUAUACAUAAAAGUUGGAACACAAAACCAUAGCCGGGCCUAAGGGUUUCAUUUGAGUAAUUUACCUUGCGGAUUAACUACAAGAACUCAACAACUAGUAGGCUUCCUCGCUUUGAGUCGUCAAUCUGUUAAGCCUUAGCGUCUUUAACAGUUAAGAAAAUAUAUCUGCGAGUUGAAAGCCAUUCCAAUAUACAUACAUAUAUUGACCAUUCCAUAAUAUAGUUUAUAUAUUGAAGAUGAUACGUUGAGCAUAAUUAGGAUAACAUUCCAAUUUAUAUACAUAUAUAGACCAUUCCAUAAUAUAGUUUAACACGGGACCUUAAACAUAUAGAAAGAAUUCAAAUGUUCACCGGGUGGCUACCCUAGGCACUUUAAGUUAUCAACGAUCAAGUCAGUUAUGUAAAAGUCAAUACAUUGUGCUCAGCUAAAAAAACAAAACUGGCUACUUUUCAAACACAGUUAACUACGUUAUGGUGUUCUUAAUAUAAAAGAUAGAUCCCCACAAAGCUAUAUAUUAU
rnacentral:lncRNA from 1 species